CGUAGGUGGCGAGCGUUGUCCGGAUUUAUUGGGCGUAAAGGGAGUGUGGGCGGUCUUUUAAGUUCUGAUGUGAAAGCCCACGGCUCAACCGUGGAGGGUCAUUGGAAACUGGGAGACUUGAGUGCAGAAGAGGAGAGCGGAAUUCCAUGUGUAGCGGUGAAAUGCGUAGAUAUAUGGAGGAACACCAGUGGCGAAGGCGGCUCUCUGGUCUGUAACUGACGCUGAGGCUCGAAAGCGUGGGGAGCAAACAGGAUU
rnacentral:rRNA from 1 species